AUUGAACGCUGGCGGAAUGCUUUACACAUGCAAGUCGAACGGCAGCACGGACUUCGGUCUGGUGGCGAGUGGCGAACGGGUGAGUAAUGUAUCGGAACGUGCCCAGUCGUGGGGGAUAACGUAGUGAAAAUUACGCUAAUACCGCUUACGAUCUAUGGAUGAAAGCGGGGGAUCGCAAGACCUCGCGCGAUUGGAGCGGCCGAUAUCAGAUUAGGUAGUUGGUGGGGUAAAGGCCCACCAAGCCAACGAUCUGUAGCUGGUCUGAGAGGACGAACAGCCACACUGGAACUGAGGCGCGGUCCAGACUCCUACGGGAGGCAGCAGUGGGGAAUUUUGGACAAUGGGCGAAAGCCUGAUCCAGCCAUUCCGCGUGCAGGAUGAAGGCCCUCGGGUUGUAAACUGAUUUUGUACAGAACGAAAAGGUUUCUACUAAUACUAGGAGCUCAUGACGGUACUGUAAGAAUAAGCACCGGCUAACUACGUGCCAGCGGCCGCCGUAA
rnacentral:rRNA from 1 species